AUUGAACGCUGGCGGCAGGCCUAACACAUGCAAGUAGAGCGGAGCGGCGGACGGGUGAGUAAUGCCUAGGACUCUGCCUGGUAGUGGGGGAUAACGUCCGGAAACGGGCGCUAAUACCGAAUACUAUCAGAUGAGCCUAGGUCGGAUUAGCUAGUUGGUGGUGUAAAGUCCUACCAGGGCGACGAUCCGUAACUGGUCUUAGAGGAGGAUCAGUCACACUGGAACUGUGAAACGGUCCAGACUACUACGGGAGGAGGCAGUGGGGAAUAUUGGACAAUGGGCGAAAGCCUGAUCCAGCCAUGCCGCGUGUGUGAAGAAGUUCUUCGGAUUGUAAAGCACUUUAAGUUGGGAGGCGUUACCAACAGAGUAAGCACCGGCUAACUUCGUGCCAGCAGCCGCGGUAAUUC
rnacentral:rRNA from 1 species